rnacentral:lncRNA from 1 species
GAACUUUUAGGGGGAAGUUUCACAAAGCAAAUUGGUGGGGCUGGCCACGCAAGGCACACCAAAGGGUAGCCAGCCCUCUUUCUGGACAUGCAAAUAAAUCCCUAGUGUUUCCACACUGCUUAACAGCAAAAAACAGUCUCUCUUGAGCACUGUUUUAUCUGUUGUCUUCAGAAGCUCUAAUGCCAAACAAGCUUGGCUGAGAUCAAAGCCCAAGGUCUACAAAACAUGCGUGUCUGGCAUGAUAUGUGGGAGAACAAUUGGAGCCAUAUAUUCAGAUUUGUAGGGCAUUUGUCGUCUGAUUUUAGUACUUUUAUCUGUUUUAGCAGAAAUUACUUUGGCAAACUAGAAGAAGAGGAAAAAGCUACUGCUGUGUCUUCUUGUAAAUCCACCAAAAUCCCUCAGCAUAAGGAGCUGAAGGGCUCUUCACAUGCUCUGUCUGAGCGAGAGGUUCUGAAGGAGCUGGCUGAGGUGACUGCUGAGCUGCUCUCCAUCAUAUUUGGAAAGUCGUGGCUAUCAGGCGAGGUUCUGGAUGACUGGAGGAAGGGUCAUGUCACACUCAUUUAUAAGAAAAGGAGCAAGGAGGACCCGGGGGACUACAGGCCGGUGAGUCUCACCUCUGUGCCUGGGAAGAUCAUGGAGCAGAUCAUCCUGGAUGACAUGCUUGAUCACAUAAGGAAUGAGCGUGUGAUCCAAGACAGCCAGCACAGCUUCACCAGGGGAAGUUCAUGCCUAACCAAUCUGGUGGCCUUCUAUGAUGGAGCGACAGCAUUGGUGGACAAAGGGAAGGCGACUGAUAUCAUUUACCUGGACUUGAGCAAGGCCUUCAACAUGGUCCCCCACAACAUCCUUAUCUCCAAAUUGAAGGGAUGUGGAUUUGAUGGGUGGACCACUCGAUGGAUAAGAAACUGGUUGAAAGGCCCCAGACAGAGGGUGGUCAUCAAUGGCUCUAUGUCCAGGUGGAGGCCAGUAACAAGAGGCAUCCCCCAGGGGUCUGUCUUGGGACUGGUGCUCUUUAACAUCUUUAUCAAUGACAUCGAUGACGGAAUCGAGUGCACCCUCAGCAAGUUUGCUGAUGACACCAAGCUGAGUGGUGUGGUUGACACGGUGGAAGGAAGUCCUCAUCAGACUUGAGGUGGGCCCAGGUGAACCUGAUGAGGUUCAACACGGCAAAGUGCAGAGUUUUGCACUUGGGCCAGAGGAAUCCCAGGCAUCCAUACAGACUGGAAGGAGCAGUCCUUGAGAGCAGCCCUGCAGAGAAGGACCUGGGGGUCCUGAUGGAUGAAAAAUUUAACAUGAGCCAGCAGUGUGCCCUUGCAGCUUGGAAAGCAAAUGGGCUCCAUCAGAAGAGGGAUGGCCAGCAGGGACAGGGAGGUGAUUGUCCCCCUCUACUCUGCUCUUGUGAGGCCACAUCUGGAGUACUGCGUCCAAGUCUGAGCCCCCAGUACAAGAAAGACAGGGAGCUGUUGGAGAGGGUCCAGAGGAGGGCCACAAAGAUGAUCAGGGGACUGGAGCACCUCCCCUAUGAAGACAGGCUGAGGGAGCUGGGCUUGUUCAGCCUGGAGAAAAGAAGGCUGCGGGGUGACCUCAUUGCAGCCUUUCAGUACCUAAAGGGAGCCUACAAACAGGACGGGAGUCAACUCUUUGAAAGGGUUGAUAAGAGCAGGACAAGGGGAAAUGGUUUUAAGUUGAGGGAGGGAAGAUUUAGGUUGCAAGUGGGGGAAGUUCUUUACAGAGAGAGUGGUGAGGUGCUGGAACAGGCUACCCAGAGAGGUUGUGGAUGCCCCAUCCCUGGAGGUGUUCAAGGCCAGGUUGGAUGGGGCCCUGGGCAACCUGAUCUAAUAUUAAAUGAGGAGAUUGGUGGCCCUGCCUGUGGCAGAGGGUUUGGAGCUUUAUGAUCUUUGCGGUCCCUUCCAACCCGGGCCAUUCAGUGAUUCUGUGAUUCUGUGAUUCUGUGAUUCUGAUUCUGUGAGAGGCAGGUGGGGCUCAGCCAGGAGAUGCACUGCUGAGGUGUGAUCUCCCCUCUGCUCCCAGAGCAGGGAUAAGAGAAACCAGCAGUGGUAGACCUACGUGCACAUCCACUCAACACAACUGGAUGUUCUGGGAGUUUUUGCAUGUUGUCUUAGAAAAAGGAAAUUACCCUCAUUUUCCUCCGCUAUCCCCAUAAUAAGAGAGACUGUGAAGUCUGCCGCUUUGCAAUUAAAAACAUGAUGGUGUUUCAUGCUUGGAGAGGGGGUGGGGGUGGGGAAAUCACCCAUACACCACAACAGAUGGUUUAAGUACAGUGAUUACAAAAUCCUGAAGUUAAAAUAGUUUAAUUACAAAGUCAAUAGUGCCUCCAACCUCUGCUAAGCCUUUAGUGUAAAAACAACAGACGGCAUAGUGCAAACGGUGGGACAAUAUUUAACCAGAACUUUGCAUUAGCUACUGCAGUACAGCUCUCCAUCAGGCCUUCAGUAAACGGAAGAUCAACUGAUUUUCCCAGCUUGUAUUUGUUAACCAUCUCUGCUUUAGUAUCAAUGGGCGGCUGCAAGAGUCACAAACAAACCUGAGGAAACAAACUGCAAUACUAUACUGCAAGCUGAGGCUCAGUGAGAGCGUGUGUAAUGUCCAAUACUGCAAUCACACAGCAGAGACAAAUAUUAGCACCAGACUAGGAAUUAAUUAAUAUAGAGGUAAGAAAUAAAUUAAAAACGAAAAAAGAUGAGCA